GGUUUUCGGACCUAGAGACCGGCGCACGGGUGCGUAACGCGUAUGCAAUCUACCUUUUACAGAGGGAUAGCCCAGAGAAAUUUGGAUUAAUACCUCAUAGUAUUAUUGAAUGGCAUCAUUUAGUAAUUAAAGUCACAACGGUAAAAGAUGAGCAUGCGUCCCAUUAGCUAGAUGGUAAGGUAACGGCUUACCAUGGCAACGAUGGGUAGGGGUCCUGAGAGGGAGAUCCCCCACACUGGUACUGAGACACGGACCAGACUCCUACGGGAGGCAGCAGUGAGGAAUAUUGGUCAAUGGGCGCAAGCCUGAACCAGCCAUGCCGCGUGCAGGAUGACGGUCCUAUGGAUUGUAAACUGCUUUUGUACAGGAAGAAACAGUUCUACGUGUAGAACCUUGACGGUACUGUAAGAAUAGGGAUCGGCUAACUCCGUGCCAGCAGCCGCGGUAAUACGGAGGAUCCAAGCGUUAUCCGGAAUCAUUGGGUUUAAAGGGUCCGUAGGCGGUUUUGUAAGUCAGUGGUGAAAGCCCAUCGCUCAACGGUGGAACGGCCAUUGAUACUGCAAGACUUGAAUUAUUAGGAAGUAACUAGAAUAUGUAGUGUAGCGGUGAAAUGCUUAGAUAUUACAUGGAAUACCAAUUGCGAAGGCAGGUUACUACUAAUGGAUUGACGCUGAUGGACGAAAGCGUGNGGAGCGAACAGGAUUAGAUACCCUGGUAGUCCACGCCGUAAACGAUGGAUACUAGCUGUUCGGAGCAAUCUGAGUGGCUAAGCGAAAGUGAUAAGUAUCCCACCUGGGGAGU
rnacentral:rRNA from 1 species